rnacentral:rRNA from 1 species
UACGAAGGGUGCAAGCGUUACUCGGAAUUACUGGGCGUAAAGCGUGCGUAGGUGGUUUGUUAAGUCUGAUGUGAAAGCCCUAGGCUCAACCUGGGAAUUGCAUUGGAUACUGGCAAGCUAGAGUGCGGUAGAGGAUAGUGGAAUUCCCGGUGUAGCAGUGAAAUGCGUAGAGAUCGGGAGGAACAUCUGUGGCGAAGGCGACUAUCUGGGCCAGCACUGACACUGAGGCACGAAAGCUAGGGGAGCGAAUGGG